rnacentral:rRNA from 1 species
AGGAUGAACGCUGGCGGCGUGCCUAACACAUGCAAGUCGAACGUCCUGUCUCGCAAGAGGCAGGGAGUGGCGGACGGGUGAGUACCACGUGGGUUAUCUACCGUGAGGUGAGGAAUACCGGCGAGAAAUCGCCGACAAGACCGCAUAGCCUCGGUGCAAGCCGAGGAAAGCUUUCUCGAGAGAGGGAGCGCCACACGAGGAGCCUGCGCCCGAUUAGCUAGCUGGUGGAGUAACGGUUCACCAGGGCGACGAUCGGUAGCUGGUCUGAGAGGACGAUCAGCCACACUGGGAUUGAGAACGGCCCAGACUCCUACGGGGGGCAGCAGUGAGGAAUUUUCCGCAAUGGACGAAAGUCUGACGGAGCAACGCCGCGUGCAGGAGGAAGGUUUUCGGAUCGUAAACUGACUUUUCUCGGGGACGAGCAAGGACGGUACCCGAGGAAGAAGCCCCGGCUAACUACGUGCCAGCAGCCGC